CUCUAGUUCCUGGAUCCGUUCGUGCAGCACUGUCAUGGAGUCCAGCUCUGCCUGCUUCACAACUUGUAAGCCGCCCUCAGCUGCCCCUGCAGCUCUCUGUUUUGUUCAUGCAGCCUGAAGACCUCCUGAUGUGACUGCUCCAACUGUGGUGGUAAAAAGCACAAAUAAAUGAAACAGUUACAGCUUCCUAAAGGAGGAAUAGAUGAUUGGGAACAAGAAUUACUGAGUUCACUACCAGCUGCAUAAACCUGGAGAAUACACAAUGGAAG